rnacentral:ncRNA from 1 species
GCACUCUGGAGACGCUCGCACCACGCGGGGGCCGAAGGGGCAAGCGGCAGAUUUUCGCCGCCAAACUCUCAGGCAAAAGGACAGAGAUG